AUAAAAGAGGUCACAGGAUCGCUGUAUUCAUAGUUUUCUUGGCUAAUGAUGCGUACGAGAUCUCGCAUCCUUCUUUGAUAAGAUUGCCUAGGGUUACGAGGUUUUUGAUUUGCAUUAUUUUGGUUAGUAACAACAGCGACAGUCAAAUAUCUUAAUAGCCAGGGACAAGAGGUUUGGAUGGUGUUGAGAUAAGGAGUAUAGAAGAACAAAUCACAAAGAGUAUCACAACCAUUUGCAUGAUUAAACAAAGGAAACAAGGACCAGUGGAGGAGCCAAGUUCGAUUUCUCAAUUGAACAGCAGAAUCUUUAAAGCUUUUGGAGUCCACCAUUUCGCGAAGUUUUCCCAAUUCCUCCAUAGCCCCAUCCCAAUCAACAGUCAAAAUUUCAGAAGCAAAUUUACCCCAGGUCGCGGAGGCGUUUAAUUCAGGGUCUUUACUGAAGGCACGAAAAUGAUAAAGUAAAUCUGAUGCACCACCGUAGUUUCCACAAUUAUAUUGAAAUUGAGCA